rnacentral:lncRNA from 1 species
UUAAUCUUCGUUCGUCUAGCCCGGAGUCAACACGUUGCGUUAAUUCCGUGCAACUCGUUGAUCUAGAAAAUUCCCUCCUGCUUAAUUCUUCCUACCUUUUCCUUUUGUUACCUUCUUCACUAUCGAUUUUACCGUAACUUUUACCUUUUGCUCUAUCGUUUUACCUUCGUUUCCUUUUCGUCCUCUUACCUUUCCUACCGUUUUCUUUUGCUACUGACAAGUUUAUUUCAAAUUCGAAUCAGUGAGUGCUCGAAUCAUCGGCUAAGCAUUAAACUGCAGGUCGAUCGUUCGGGGCUGGUGAAUAUCUCAGUUGGGUGAACCUAGCAAAAAAUCUUGGAAAACAAAGUACAGAAGCUGCAUAGGUCACAACGUUAUUGCAAGAACAAAAAAAAAAAAACAGUGUCGAAAGUACGUCGCUUCAUCGUUCAACAGCAAAUGCUACGAGAACUUUUUCAUCUAAAGUGUGGAGCUUCAUCGUUGAACCGUAAAUGCCACCAGGAUUAUUUCGUAUCUGAAGUGCGGACUAAGUCAGAAAAGAGUUAAGCGGAGACAUCCGAAUGACUACUCCAUUACUUGGCAGCAUUGGUGAGUUUGCAUGUAUUUGGGUUACAGGUACUUCUCCAGGUCGCUUUUAUCACGUGCCGAUACUUACUUUUGUUUCUGAUUCUGCAAGUUAAUUUUUUUUAUAGCUGUUUAAGAUCUAAAUAACAGUAAAACGGUAAUUCCAAGUUAAUUAAUUGAUUGAUUGUGAGUCAAGUUCACAGGGUAGUUGUAUAAUUUAAAUUUCACUCUACAGAUCACUUUCAAUAUUCUAUCAUACUUUCUUUGCAGAAUAUCCCAAUUUUAUUUUAUAAGCUUAAGCCCAAGCAAUUACUCUGAAAUAAUUUACCGCAUAAGCUAUUGCCAGUAAUUCGUUUUCAACUGUUUAGUAACUUCUCUUUCAUUGAUCUUGUAAUCUGGUUACAUAUUUUGUAUUCUACCGGCAAAUCUUUUCCUACUG